rnacentral:rRNA from 1 species
GUACGUACAAGCAGUGGGAGCCCCAUCACUCAAGUGCCUCGGCAAUUGAGUGAUGGCUUAAUAACCACCACAAGAGCAGCGCAGAAUUUGCCAACAAGAUUGGUCGAUUUUUUCAAGCCGUCGCGCAGUGUACGUAGAAGUACACGAGCAGCGGAAGUUAAAAAUCGGGCAAGAUUGGCCGCAAAGACAAGCGGGACAUUUGAGGAUGGGGUGACUGCGUACCUUUUGUAU